rnacentral:tRNA from 2 species
GCCCCCGUAGUCUAGGGGUUUUUAUGAUACGGCUCUUGUAUGUUGAUCGCGAGAAGCUGAGGUCGGGAGUUCGAAUCUCUCCGGGGGCU